GACAGAGGAUGCAAGCGUUAUCCGGAAUGAUUGGGCGUAAAGCGUCUGUAGGUGGCUUUUUAAGUCCGCCGUCAAAUCCCAGGGCUCAACCUUGGACAGGCAGUGGAGAACUCGGGGACUCGAGUACGGUAGGGGUAGAGGGAAUUUCCGGUGGAGCGGUGAAAUGCGUAGAGAUCGGAAAGAACACCAACGGCGAAAGCACUCUGCUGGGCCGACACUGACACUGAGAGACGAAAGCUAGGGGAGCGAAUGGG
rnacentral:rRNA from 1 species